rnacentral:rRNA from 1 species
UGAAAUCUGGCUCUUUCAGAGUCCGAGUUGUAAUUUGCAGAGGGCGCUUUGGAGUUGGCAGCGGUCCAAGUUCCUUGGAACAGGACGUCACAGAGGGUGAGAAUCCCGUACGUGGUCGCUAGCCUUCGCCGUGUAAAGCCCCUUCGACGAGUCGAGUUGUUUGGGAAUGCAGCUCUAAAUGGGAGGUAAAUUUCUUCUAAAGCUAAAUACUGGCCAGAGACCGAUAGCGCACAAGUAGAGUGAUCGAAAGAUGAAAAGCACUUUGGAAAGAGAGUCAAAUAGCACGUGAAAUUGUUGAAAGGGAAGCGCUUGCAGCCAGACUUGCCUGUAGUUGCUUAUCCGGACUCUUGUCCGGUGCACUCUUCUAUAGGCAGGCCAGCAUCAGUUUGGGCGGUUGGAUAAAGGUCUCUGUCACGUACCUCUCUUCGGGGAGGCCUUAUAGGGGAGACGACAUGCAACCAGCCUGGACUGAGGUCCGCGCAUCUGCUAGGAUGCUGGCGUAAUGGCUGUAAGCGGCCCGUCUUGAAACACGGACCAAGGAGUCUAACAUCUAUGCGAGUGUUUGGGUGUCAAGCCCAGACGCGUAAUGAAAGUGAACGGAGGUGGGAACCCUUUGGGUGCACCAUCGACCGAUCCUGAUGUCUUCGGAUGGAUUUGAGUAAGAGCAUGGCUGUUGGGACCCGAAAGAUGGUGAACUAUGCUUGAAUAGGGUGAAGCCAGAGGAAACUCUGGUGGAGGCUCGCAGCGGUUCUGACGUGCAAAUCGAUCG